GAAAUGCGAUAAGUAAUGUGAAUUGCAGAAUUCCGUGAAUCAUCGAAUCUUUGAACGCACAUUGCGCCCCCUGGCAUUCCGGGGGGCAUGCCUGUCCGAGCGUCAUUUCUGCCCUCAAGCGCGGCUUGUGUGUUGGGCGUGGUCCCUCCGGGGACCUGCCCGAAAGGCAGCGGCGACGCCUGUCCGGUCCUCGAGCGUAUGGGGCUCUGUCACUCGCUCGGGAGGGAUCGGCGGGGGUUGGUCACCACCACGUUUUCACCACGGUUGACCUCGGAUCAGGUAGGAGUUACCCGCUGAACUUAA
rnacentral:misc_RNA from 1 species